rnacentral:tRNA from 1 species
GAGGAUAUAGCUCAAGUGGUAGAGUGCAUGCUUAGCAUGCACAAGGUCCUGGGUUCAAUCCCCAGUACCUCCA